AUUGAACGCUGGCGGCAUGCCUUACACAUGCAAGUCGAACGGCAGCGGACCUUCGGGUGCCGGCGAGUGGCGAACGGGUGAGUAAUAUAUCGGAACGUACCUUUCAGUGGGGGAUAACGUAGCGAAAGUUACGCUAAUACCGCAUAUUCUGUGAGCAGGAAAGCAGGGGAUCGCAAGACCUUGCGCUGAUUGAGCGGCCGAUAUCAGAUUAGCUAGUUGGUGAGGUAAAGGCUCACCAAGGCGACGAUCUGUAGCGGGUCUGAGAGGAUGAUCCGCCACACUGGAACUGAGACACGGUCCAGACUCCUACGGGAGGCGGCAGUGGGGAAUUUUGGACAAUGGGCGCAAGCCUGAUCCAGCCAUGCCGCGUGAGUGAAGAAGGCCUCGG
rnacentral:rRNA from 1 species